AUUGAACGCUGGCGGCUUGCCUUACACAUGCAAGUCGAACGGUAACAGGUCUUCGGAUGCUGACGAGUGGCGAACGGGUGAGUAAUACAUCGGAACGUGCCUAGUAGUGGGGGAUAACUACUCGAAAGAGUGGCUAAUACCGCAUGAGAUCAACGGAUGAAAGCAGGGGAUCGCAAGACCUUGUGCUACUAGAGCGGCCGAUGGCAGAUUAGGUAGUUGGUGGGAUAAAAGCUUCCCAAGCCGACGAUCUGUAGCUGGUCUGAGAGGACGAUCAGCCGUACUGGGACUGAGAGACGGCCGAGGCUCCUACGGGAGGCAGCAGUGGGGAAUUUUGGACCAUGGGCGAAAGCCUGAUCCAGCAAUGCCGCGUGCAGGAUGAAGGCCUUCGGGUUGUAAACUGCUUUUGUGCGGAACGAAAAGCCCCGGGUUAAUACCCUGGGGUCAUGACGGUACCGUAAGAAUAAGCACCGGCUAACUACGUGCCAGCCGCCGCAGUAA
rnacentral:rRNA from 1 species